rnacentral:lncRNA from 1 species
GAGGAGACAUUUCAUUUUGAGUGAUGAAAGGAGUCCAUUAAGUGAAGAGUGGGAGAAAGAGAAUUCCAGGCUGAGGAUUCUAAGGCAGGAAUGAGCACGGAACCUCUUUUUGUUCUAUUCAGGAACUUCAGGAGAACAAGGGUGGGGACCGCUGCGAGGAAGUUGUAGAAGAGGGCCGGCCGGGGUCAGAUCAAGCUGUGUCCUUUAGGUCAAGUUCAAGGUCUUAUGGUUUAUUCUGAGGGCUGUGAAAAAUGGAUUUGCAGAAGGUGAGAGUGAUUUUCCAGUGAUUGCUUUGGCCUGUACAACCAGAGAACAGGAUUCUUCCCUUCUUUUUGGCCACCAAAUGCCUAUGUGCACCACACAUUCCAGUGUGCUGAGAAGGGCAGAGCGUCUUGGAUGAUGACGGACAUCCCACCGGGCAGGAUGAAGGCAGAGCGUGUGGCAUCUCCACCUCAAGGGACAGCUUUCUGGCUGCUUGGCUCACUAAAUCACUCAGCCUUCUGAGCAGCUCUCUGCUUGGCGAUGAGCUGUGUGAAUUACAG